UUUGUUGUAGUCUAGUUGGUUAGGAUACUCGGCUCUCACCGAGAGACUCGGGUUCAAAUCCCGGCAACGGAA
rnacentral:tRNA from 1 species